GGGCGCCUGGCGCAAUGGUAGCGCAUCUGGGUCCGGUGCAACAGUUACGACAGCGUCAUACCAGAAGGCUGCAGGUUCGAGCCCUGCGGUGCUCG